GACGUAGGGCGCGAGCGUUGUCCGGAUUUAUUGGGCGUAAAGAGCUCGUAGGCGGCUUGUCGCGUCGAAUGUGAAAUCUCAGGGCUCAACUCUGACAUUGCAUUCGAUACGGGCAGGCUAGAGUUCGGUAGGGGAGACUGGAAUUCCUGGUGUAGCGGUGAAAUGCGCAGAUAUCAGGAGGAACACCGGUGGCGAAGGCGGGUCUCUGGGCCGAUACUGACGCUGAGGAGCGAAAGCGUGGGGAGCGAACAGGAUUAGAAACCCCCGUAGUCC
rnacentral:rRNA from 1 species